rnacentral:lncRNA from 1 species
GAUGCUAAGCGCAUAUGAGACCUGCCCUUACGCGGUAAGGAGAAAAGAAAUGCCUCACUUAAGCUAGAUGGAUGCAUUUGCUCAAUGAUGUUUCAUUUCGAAAGCUAGGCUCUUGUGAUAUAUUGCACAUUCCAAAAGGAAAAAAAUAACUUUGGAAUAUACACCUGAAAACUCAGCCUUAGGCCCUAAUAUGGUCUUUGAUAAGUAAAUAUUCAUUGGGAAUGCAACCCUCAAAGUACAGAGAACAAAUGGUCCUGGGUUCAUUGAGCCGUCCAAGUCCCAAAUACUAUGGUAGAGACACAAAGGUAGAAUUAUCAACAGGUCUUAACUUUCCUGGCUUCAAGAGUGUAUCAGAGUUUAGGGAGUGGUGAUGUAUGAUAAUCUCAUUUUCCCAAAUUAAAGAUUAGGGGCCAUGGUAACCUGUGUGGUCUUACAAACCUGAGAGUGGGAUUAUUCUUAAAGUCCCGGGAUGCAUGCAUGCUCCUCUUUCCGCGUGAAUUCCGGACUGUAGCCAGGCUGAUCUCGUCGUCCCUAACCUUGGCCCCACAUCUUCCUGCUGCCUCUCUUGAGCUCAUGCAGUGUCCCUUUCUUGGAAUACCCUCCUUUCUAUUGUUCUAACUAUUGAAGCCUAACCUUUAUCCAAGACCCAGUUAAUAUUCUACUUCUUUGUGAAGUCAACCUAAACCAUCUCAGCCCACAAUAAACUUUAGAAUACCUCUAGCCCUUAUUGUUUACACUCUUACUUGGCAUUUAACAGAUGCCAAGGCGGCAUUGCAGACCUACUUACGUAGUACGGAUCCCAUUUCCCCAAUUACACUACGGCGGGGAGUGAUCAUACCACAUGCAUCCUUGCGUUCACUAGACUGGUUAUGGGAUCAGAUCCAUGUAGGCUCUCCUUAAAUUUAAGAUGUUAAUGAGAAUGUGGAUAUUGUCUUUACUCUUUUUUUUUUUUGGCGGUGGGGGGGUGCGGUGGUGGUCAGAUUGUCUCCGCUUUUAGCCCAUUCCGUGAUGUGUAUGAGAAAUCUGCCCUUACGUGGUGGAGGGGAAAAGAAAUGGUGUAGGCUCUGAAUCCUGCUUAUGUCUUUGACAUUGAAAAUUGCAGUGAUGACUGUUGUCAAAGUUAUCUCUUGGGAUAACAUCUCUUUAAAACCAGGUGUCUCAAAUUCAAAUGCUUUCUGAGGGUCAGUCAAGUAACCUAGUAGGACUGUGCCCACCCAGCUCCAUUUUCUUGCCCCGAGGGAACACAGGGCACUAAGCCACGCCUGUCCAUCAGAGCUGAGUGUGUUCAAGCCCCAGCGUGUGCCCAGCUCUAACUCCAUUCACAAUCCAUGGUCUUUGAACUCACUGCUGGGCAGCUUGAUCUCUUGUUAGAGCCCUCUUGCCACCCUGCCUUAAUGCAAAUGCCUGUCUGGACCCAAAUGCAAAGACCCGUCUCCAGGUCUACCCUGACCGAGGGUGACCUCUUUGCACAGAGCCCAGUUGAUUCUCAGUUAUCGAUAAAGUCUCUCUGAGGCAAGGCUUUUUGUUGACUUCCACCUCUACCCCGAGUUUGGGAGCCAAAGGUGCUCAUCAAACCCCAACUCUCUGCUGCCCUCCACAGGCCAUUGACCUCAUUGCCUUUGCCAUUUCGUCUGGUUAACUCUGGCUCCCAGGCGAUACAAAGGUCUUAUAGCCUGAGAUGGAUCAUGUAUUUUUGUGCCCAGUGCUUUUGUGUGUGUGGUCAUUCAUUUCUGUUCAGCUUGUGUGUGGAUAGGUUCUUUCUUCUUGACUUACUUGCAGUUCUUAUAGGUACAUUCUGGGUUUUCUUCCUUCCACACCCACCAUCUUUUCUCCCCCUUCUACUUAAAAUAGCAGCACCAUGAAAUACAAGUCAGUUAUUUUGGUAAAGAUAGUAUGGUUUAACUGAAAGCUUGUGAUUUUUGGAGUAAGAAAGAUCUGAGUUUUAAUCCGGACUCUACCAAUGACUGGCUCUAUGAACUUGGGCAAUAUUUUUCUGUUUUGUUCCUCUCUAAAGAGGGCAUUAUGUAAUAAUAUGCAAGCAAAACUGACUCAUAGAUAAUGCUUAAUCCUGGGUUUUCCCCCUCUUCUUCGUGAAGUCUUUUCACUUUGAGUAAGGUCGCCAGUCUUGCUAUAGAAAUUAGCAGUCACUGUGUGGGAGACAUUUAUCAUCUCCUUCCCCCACCCUCCCCCGUCUUUGUUGUCUUCAGACAUGGCCUCUUAGGUUCAGGAGAGAGAAUACACAUUGGGCAGAUGUUUCAUCAGCAAGCCCAGCACUUUCUCCGAGCACCGACUGAUGGAUCUUACUUGACCUGCCAGCUCAGGAACCAUCCUUUGACUGUGAGCCUUAACCCUCAUGAAAUGUUACAUGAAAACUAGACAGGCUGCUCUGUCCCGCUGAACAAAACUGGGUCUGGAGGAGCUCCCUGGAAGGCUAGGGGCUAGUUUUUCAGCAUAAGAGCCACAUGUGAUUCUAUUAGUGACCUCAGUCCAGGGCAGGACCUUAUCCCCCUGACCAGCUGUUGAAUUUUCACUGCCUCAGAAAUUUUAUGGACCUUAUCAUGCAAUCAUCAGAAGAGCCUUGUGUGUUAGGCUCUUGUUCCCAUUUUAUAGAUGAGGCAACCGAGGCUUGGAGAAAUGGAAGUUACUUUCUGAAGGUUAUAUAGCUAGCCAAGGUCAAAGCUGGGAUUUGAACCAAGGUCUGACCAGACACAAAGUAUUGUGUUCCACUAUGUCUAAAAACCAGGGAUUCUGAGAGCCAGCCCGCGGGGAGGGGUAGCCUGGAGGGGUACCCCUGCACGGGUAUCUUCACGGGGCUCUUCACAGAGUCCCGGUGUUCCCACCUCAUCGCUCGCUGGGGGCUCUUAAGGGGUAAGUGGAAGGCCAUUUUUAACUAUAAUCCUGUACGAUACGAAUGUCACAUCAGAGCCUUUGUCUGUUGCUGAUCCAGUGUUGAUUGAUAGGUUACAUUUUUAAAAAUUGCAUCAGUAAUUCAUGCUUUAUUACUCCUGAAUUAGCGUAAUGGUUCAAAUCAUCUUGUUGUAAUUCAGCAUAAUUAUCUAUAAUUAAAAAUAAAUUCCUGUAGGGUGAGAAUACGAAUUCCUCUCCAAAUCUCUUUAUUUCAACUGUGCCUAUCAGCCGUUACCCCGCUUUCACCCAGCAACUCUGGGCGCUUAUUGGGGAACUGACCUUGCUCUGCCUCAUGAGUUCACACUUUCCAGACCAUCGCUUCAUCUUCUCUCUUUGGGGUCAGCGUCUCUCCCAGGAUUUUGUGUUAGUAAAUGUUCUCUAAGUUAUUGGCUUUGGGGAGUUCCCUUUGCGACUUAGCAGUAAACGAACCUGACUGGGAUCCAUGAAGAUGCAGGUUAGAUCCUUGGCCUCACUCAGUGGGUUAAGGUUGUGGCGUUCCUGUGAGCUGUGGUGUAGGUUGCAGGUGGGGCUUGGAUCCUGAGUUUCUGUGGCUGUGGUGUGAUCCAGCAGCUGUACCUCUGAUUUGAUCCCUAGCCUGUGAACUUCCAGAUGCCAAGGGUGCGACCCUAAAAGAGAAAAAAAAAAAAAAAAAGUUAUUGGCUUUUGUUUGUGGUUUAGUUCAUGUGCAGAUUCUGAUGGAAGCCAGGAAGCACAUUCAGGACAAAAACUCACAGGCACCUAUGCACAGAUGGUGUAUGGAAUUUCAGGAGAAUCAAGGAUCCCCUGGGUCCCAGUUUCUCCAAUUGGGGUCCCCAGACCAGCAGCAGCAGCAUUCCUGGGAACUUGUUAGAGAGACAGAUCCUUUGGCCCACUGAAUCGGAAACUCUGAGGGUGAGGACCAGUAAUCAGGGUGUUGACGAGCUUUCCAGGUGCUUCUGCUGAGCAGAAGUUAGAGGACCUUGGUAUGAGGUUAGAGCCGUGCCCUGGCUGGAUGUCCUUCACCCACUGCAGUGACACUCUGCCCUCCGUGAGCAGAAAGGGCGAUGGAUCCUUGUAGUGCUGAUCUGGUUGUUCACUGGGUGUUAUAGCUGCUCCACCUUUCAGCCCAAGGAUGCAUUUUCUCACAGGCAGCAAGGAGGAGGCGGGUGGCCCCACCACCGGACUUGCCAGGACACCCCAGGAAAAUGCUCCAGGUGCCUGCAAACAUUCGAGAAGAUCCAAGUGGUGAUAGGAAUGGUUCUCUCCCUGGGUACAUUCCUGUCUUUAGAUUGCUCCCCAGCCCCACCUGUCCUGGUCUAGGAGCCAUCCCUGCCCUCGAGGCCAGAGCAGGCAGAGGCCCAGUGUGAUUAGGGGGAAUACCGCCUGGUGCUUAGUUUCAAAAAGUCAACUUUUGGAGUCAGUCUUUGUUUUUCCAUGCAGGAAGUUUUACUUCUCGUCCAACUAACUCAGUCAUUAGACCUGACUUUUUUUUUUUUUUUAAACCAUUUUCCAUGUUUAAGUUUUAUUACGUGAGGAAAAAUUACUUAGAUUUGUAAAGAAGUUCUCUGCUAAUGCCUGAAUCUUUCUUGAGCCUGCGCUUCAACACACAGGGUUUAUUGCCUUAGUCAGACACAGUGAUUUGUCCUCUCUUAAUUCUUAUCUCUUCUCCACCUAAACCCACUCGCCGUCCUCCCAAAUGUAGUGCUUGGAAUUCAAAAACAUGAAGAAGAAGAAUUGGUAAAGUGAGCUUCUGUUAAUAGAUGAAUGCUGUCUCUGUGUGUGUUUCCUCUUUAGAAUGUGGGAAGAAGCUUUGGGGGGGAGGGGCAUGUGUUUUACAUUUUUCGUUUUAUUAUUUCAGCGCAUUAGAAUUUACCUUGAGUCUUACUAGAAGGGUACAUCUGAGAGUGUGGAGGUGGCAUUAUUCAUUACGUGGACCGGUUGGCUUCUCUGUGUUCAGUGGCCAAAUCCAUUAAAAAUUCAUGUUGUUAGUUUCAAGGAAGGACUGUAUUGGAGAAUGUGAAAAAAAAAAAAAAAGAAUUAUGGGGAAAGCUGAGACACCUUCAGAAAGGGGAAUCAGCACACGCUUUACGUAAGCUCCUCUGUGCUGAAUAUUUUCUUCGCCUUUGGGAGACAGCCUUCUUCUCUUUCGUUCAGACCCAGACGGAGUGUCAUGACCCUUUCUCCCGAGACUGUCUUUGGUCCCACGUUCAUUGUACACGUACAGCAUCGUUCUUCCCUUCCCUCAUCAAGGCUCCUGUGUUUGUAACUGUUUAAAACCUUGUUUCUUGGGUGCUAGCCUGCCUGUCUUGUUGGGUCGCCCUGUUUCCUUUGUGUGGGUUUCCCGCAUGGUUUUGGAGAAGGGGGUGUUUCAGGAGCUGAGUGAAAGCUCAUGCCCACCAUUGAGGACGCCACCCAAAGUGUCUCCAUGAUGCCCUUUUCCUUCCUGCCCUGGCGGCUUCACUCUUCUGCCUGGAGGUCGCUCUCCCAUCGUUGCCUUCACAUCUCAGCACAAAUAUCUCUGCUCCUUGAAGACUUUUCCAUCCAUCUGACCACCUCCAUGCUGGGUGAGUUAUCUUUAUUUUCAUUUUCCUUGCAUUUCCAAGUUUCUAAAUGUCUCUUUCUGGUGAUGUGAUUAAAACCUGCCUUCCCUGCCUCCAGGAGGUCAGGGGCCUGGUCUGCUUGUCUAUAGUGAGUGCUCAAAAGUUUUUUUGGCUCAAUAAAUGCAUUUUCUCAUUGAAUUUUUAAAAUAAUGCAUAGAACUUGGACCUGACAAUUCUUAGGGAGCUCCAGCCCUUCUUUCUUCUGCUUUCCUACUUUAACCGUAAGGUGAGAGCAUCUGUCCUUUUGUUUCACUCUUCACCAAAUGCAGGAGCACCUGACUUUAUCUGGCAAGUUCGAGAAGAGCAACGCUUGUCACGUAUGUCUGCCUGCACAUGAGCCAUGCACUGCUCAUGCCUGCUGGUCUGAAAGCUAACGUUGGGGUCUGUGGUCCUGGGCGAUUCCAGCUGGCUUAUUCAGAGGUGGGAAGAUCUGCCUAUUUCCAGCCUAAAGCCCACUUGGCACUGGUUUGAGCCACUUCUCCAGUCUGGCUUUAUCGAUCAACCUGACACUCUGACCUCCAUCUCUCUGACCUUUUACUUUUCUCAAUGAGUUGGUACUUAGGAUGCUAAAAGUUGGGUGUUAAUUUGGUUUUUCUAACCAAAAAUGGCAUCUUUCUUAGAUUUUCCCUUAACUGUUGUAACUGAUGCCCUUGUCCCCUGAGCUAACCAGGUAUGAAGGCCUUUUCUGUUUUCUGCAAAUCAUGGUUUAAGUUUUACUGUGUUUCUUUUUUCCACGGAAACUCCUUAUGAAAGUUUCAGUAACUCCUAAGGCCAUCCCAGAGUCACUGGCGGGAGGGGUCUGUUGCAUCUCGGUUGCCUGCCUCACCCUGACUUCUGAUAAGAAAACUGUGGCAAGCAGAUCUGACUCUGAACUUACCAACAGUCUCCCCUGCAUCAAAAAUUGACAGAACAUUGUAAAUCAACUCUAAUAAAAAAAUUUUUUUUCAAAAAAAAGAGAAGGGAGUUCCCAUUGUGGCUCAGUGGUAAACAAACCCGACUAGUAUCCAUGAGGAUGUGGGUUUGACCCCUGGCCUCGCUCAGUGGGUUAAGGAUCCAGCAUUGCCGUGAGCUGUGGUGUAGAUUGAAGACUGGACUCAGAUCCCACGUUGCUGUGGCUGUAGAGUAGGCCAGUGGCUGCAGCUCCAGUUCGACCCCUGGGCCUGGGAACCUCCAUAGCCUGCCUUUGUGGCCCUAAAAAGACAAAAGACAAAAAAUAAAUAAAGAAAAAAGAAAAAAAAAAA